AGAUCUUGGCUAUUGUAAACUGCGCUGUCCAUUGUAUUUUUCUUUUUUGCUUUAGUUUGGAAAUUUUUUAAUGAUCAUUCUUCGGUGCCUAAUACUCUCUUCUUAGUGUUUAAUCUGCUUUUAAAAGCACCUAUUGAGUUUUUAUUUUGUUACAGCUUCAUUGAGGUACAACUGACAUAAGACUCACCCAUAAUUGGACCCUCACCCUUGGCGCAUCGGGACAACGCUCCAACCAACUGAACUACCCAGCCAGGCCCAGCAUAAUGUUUUUUGAAGUUUACAAGGCUUGUCACUAUUGUAGCAGGCAUUGGUAUUUUGUGCAAAAGGAUUUUAUUGCUGAAACUUUUAUGUUAUAUGGAUCUGGUGUAGUCUGUUUAUUAACCAGUUAAUGGAAAUUGAGUUGUUUCCAGUUAUUGGCUAGUAGGAAUAAUGCUGCCGUGACGGUUCCUGUAAGUCUUAAUGCACACAUACAUUUUCAUUUUUGUUAUGUAGAAGUGGUGUAGAACUUCUGGGUCAUGUGGUGGAUGUGUGUUUAAUGUUUUAAGAAACUACCAAACUACUUUCUACAGUGGCUGUAACAUUUUACAUUCCCAACAGCAAUGUAUGGAGGUUUCAGUUUCUUCGUACCUUAGUCAACAGUUACUGAUUACAGCCAUUCUAGUGGGUGUGUAGAGGUUAAUUUGUUAUUAAUUUGCAUUUUCCUCAUGUUUAAUAAAGUUGAACACCUUUUAAUAUG